UAAUGUAUUCUUUAUUAUUCUUAUUUUAAGCGUUUUGAUUUUAUUUUAUCUUCCCUUUUUAUUUUCGUUUUCUACAUUAUUUUUAUUUUAAAUCAAAUAUAAACAUUUCUGGGGAAAUAAAAUGAUGUUAUUAUAUUAUAAUAAGAGAAUUGUAUCAAGUUGCGAGCCUUAUCCACGUCAUGUACCAUAAAAAGAAUCGUAUCAUUGGCAUAUUACAGUAUAGAGAGGCCACAAUCAACAAGGUGUGGCACUUCUCCUGCAAUCUGACCGGUCUGCUUUGCGCACGUGAUAAUUUUCUACAAGAAACUACCAUAUUUUUCCUCUUUGUCAUCAUCUUUCGACAUCGCCGAAACACUAUGAAUAUGAAAAUACUUCAAUUAACACUGACACGUGCUACUGGAAAUGAACUGUUUCUUCUUCUUUUCUUUUUUUUUUGGCAGGGAAGGAAAUGAUCUGUUUCUCACAGACUGUGGUUGCGAAAAUUUUCCGGCAGCGUCCCAGUUGAAGACUGCAGCAAAGUUCCGCGUACUAUUUGGAUGUUUUACCCCAUGAGGCUACAAGAUUAGCUGUUUGAGAGUGCAUACCUCAUGUUAUGUGAGGUAGAUGGAACUGUCAUCGCGAUGAGUGCAAACGGAACCUCCAAUUAUGAGUGCGACCUGCUGCUAGUGAUAUGUGUGACGACUUUGACCGUGGAAGUCGUUGUACAGGACUAGUCACAAUUUCACAGCGUUCUCUAUGUGUAUAUAAAAAGAAGAGAGGUUAUUCUAAGGGAAGGCCAGCAGAAGUAGUUUAACACAUUUUCCACAAUUAAUUACAUACGUAGAAACAGCUCACACAGAUUCUAACUGAGAAGAGGAGAUCAUGGAGCGAUCUUCCUCUGCUUCUUCUUCAUCCCUCUUAGGCACCAUGGCCAUCCUGGCAAUCAUAUGCUGCUCCCUGCCAUCCUCGGUGGCAAUCCAAGUUGAUAUGGAUGGAGACCGAUCGGGAGUGACACCUCGGCCUCCGUGGCACCCGCUGGCGCCGCAGGGGAAGAUCACCGGCAGGCUUUUGCAAACGUCCCUUGUUCAUACGGAAGGAGACCGAGAAGGAGCGGGUCCUCCGUCGCCAACGUCCGAGCAGGGACGGGGCCCUGGCCACAACUGACCGUCUUUGGCGUGCUUAUGUAUGCUCCGAGCUUGAAUCGGGACAACUUUGAGCUAUAGAUGACUUUAUAUAAAUUUAUUGUUUAUAUAAACUCCAAAUAAUAAGUAUGUGUUAUUUUUUUGGAUCUUGUUUGGAUUACUUACCCAGAGUGCCACGUGGAAAUAAGUAUAUGCUAUUCAUUUCUACGACAAGUAGUUUAGGCGGCGGUAGUUUUCGUUCGGUGGUCUUGCAAUUUUUAUUAUGAUUGAGGUGCUUUGUACUUCCAGUGAACUUUGACAAUAGAUCUGAAUCA